UCUGUUAGUAUUUUGUGGAUUACCAAUUUGUGGAUUGAAUUGUAUAGAGAAAGGAAGGGCAAGUUUGAGAAGAAAUUGAGAUAAUAAGGGUAAAAGCCGUAGCCUUUUAUUUAUUGUUAUGUUCUAUGGCUUAGAAAUUCUCUAACCAUAGAACAUAACAAUAAAUAAAAGGCUACGGCUUUUACCCUUAUUAUCUCAAUUUCUUCUCAAACUUGCCCUUCCUUUCUCUAUACAAUUCAAUCCACAAAUUGGUAAUCCACAAAAUACUAACAGAAAUUGCCGCUAUCACAACGAUCAUCCACGAAACCCAAACCCAUUUGGGUAUAACGCUAUCUGCAACCCCACUUAUAUAAAACACUCCCAUUCGAUACACAAAAUAUGGACCCAAAAAACCCCUCACCAAAGAGUAAAACGAAUAAAAAGGAGCAGACAGGAAAUUGUACACCUUGGCGGCGAAUUUGGCAUCCUUCCUUCGCGCACCGGCGAGCGUCCACACGUUCUGGCAAAAACUCGUCACUUCGGCGAGGACGAGCAAGGAGAGUAUGGCGUACGCGCCGUGAGAGACCAUAUACCGGCAAGUAAGGAAGACGAAAAGGGUGGCCAAGUGGUGUCCGAUAAAGAGAACAUCGCUAGGAAAGAAAAUGAGGUAAUGAAUUAGAUCCAUCAAGAAAUAUGCAAUGCUAUAGUCAAGAACGGCAGCCUGUAUUGCGGUGUUGGGCGACGAGAAACCGCGACGUGGGUCAGCGAGGAUGGCGUAAGAGGCUAAAAAAACAGCGGGUGUACCAUGAAAGAGGGAGAUUAAGCAACUGGAGGCUUCAGGACGGACAUUGGAGCUCCAAUUACGAAAGACAAGGAAUUGGGCUAAGAAAUAAAUGACAAGGAAGAAGGAGAAGAAUAGGGGGAGAUUUGGGAGAGAUUGAAUUAGGGUUUCCAUAUGUAAAUGGAAACCCUCUGUGGGACUUGAAUUAGGAAGAACGAAGAGGAUGAUGACAAUGGUUGAAGAUUUUUCCUUUAUAGAGAGAAAGGGAUAGUGGGUGGGGUUUGGAUUGACUGCUCUGAAUUUUGAAUUUGCUUC
rnacentral:misc_RNA from 1 species